AUUGAACGCUGGCGGCAGGCCUAACACAUGCAAGUCGAGCGAGCGGCGGACGGGUGAGUAAUGCAUGGGGACUGCCCGAAUGAGGGGGAUAACUACUGGAAACGGUAGCUAAAACCGCAUACUGUCGGAUAACCCAUAGGGGAUUAGCUAGUUGGUGAGGUAAUGGCUCACAAAGGCGACAAUCCCUAGCUGGUCUGAGAGGCUGAUGAGCCACACUGGAACGGGUAAAGGGCCAAGACUCCUAGGGAGGCGGCAGUGGGGAAUAUUGGACAAGGGGCGAAAGCCUGAUGCAGCCAUGCCGCGUGUAGAAAGAGGGCCCUAGGGUUGUAAAGUACUUUCAGUCGGGAGGCGUUACCGACAGAAGAAGCACCGGCUAACUCCGUGCCAGCAGCCGCGGUAAUAC
rnacentral:rRNA from 1 species